ensembl:lncRNA
GGACAGUGGUGCAAUGGAUGCCUGCUACUGAGGAAUAAAACUUGUUAAUUUUCUCCUGCAAAAGAUCCCUGUGUAAUUGAAAUAGAAUCCCAUCUGAACUUUAAUUUUUUCAGUGACAGUCAUCUCUUUGAUAAGAACAGGGCUUUCUCAGUACUGCAUUUUGAAGUUAUGUGUUUUAGUGCUUUGAGGAACAGAAGAUACUUCUGCAUUAGUAUACAGCGACAGUGGAAAAUGCCAGAGUGUUUGGGAGCUAGGCCAGGAGGAGGAUAGGUAUGCAGCUGGUCGUCUGUCUCACUGCUUUUGAGAACACAGGUAAUUACUGCAUGCCAUAUACCUUCCUGAUGAAAUGCCUUUUGGAAAAUCAAAGCUGUUUGGUUCCAAGGCAGAGGCAGUUUCUCUGACCAAAUGGGGUUUAGUAACUCUUCCA